AGGAAAGAGGGAGGAGAGCGGAGGAGAGGCGACAUGGAUCUUGAGGCCAAUUCCUUCCUAGGAGAUGGAUGUUGAAGCGAACUUCUUCUCCUUCCUCCCUCCCUCCGAUCCUUGAGUCUUAACCCUAGACGGAGAGAUGGUCGGCGACGAUGGAAUGGCGGAGAUCCUCCAACUCUUCUGUGCGCGAAGCAAUUUCCAUCCGGAUCUUUUCCUAUCGAGGUAUUUGUAAAGAUCCCCAAAUUACAAGCCCUUGGAUUCUUGACUCUUUCGCUUGUGAUUUCUUUUGCUUCUGUUGUCACGACAUUCGUUUGCAAGAAUGUUGGCAAGAUGUUGUUCUGCAAGAAAAGGAAAUGGGGAUCUCGAAGAGUAUCUCCUCGAACCGUCUUAAGGGCACUUAAUUAAACUUUAUAAUCUAUACCGAUCCUUGAGUCUGACCCCUGAAUGAAUAAGCGACAUAAUAUGGUGGAGAGGUAGAAGAUCCUCUAGAUCUCCUGCGAUGUAUUGGUAAACAUCUCCCAAAAGUAAUCGUUCUUGUAUUCUUGAUUUUUUUUUUAAUCUUGAGUUGAUACGUUUGAUUGUUGAACUGGUUCCUUUUGGUAUUGCAUAACGUGUCCAGAUUGUUUGUGAUUUCUUUUUCUUUUGUUAUUAAGAAUCCUAACAACUUCACAUGUCCUUUCCAAAGAUGUUGUUAGAAUGUCCUUCGGCAAGAAAAUGAGGAUUGGGAUGUGAUUCAUCAUCCUAAAGGUUGAUGAAUUAGAUUAUAACCUUUACCAACUCACUUGAUUCCUCUUUGUUUGUUGUUUGGACUUCUCUUGCAAGAAGUUUAGGUAUGAAAAGUUAGUAAUCGUCUGUCCCAGAAAUUGAUCAUCUGAUUCUUGUGGUUUUUAUUGUCAUAAAUUACCUUUUGUCUGGCACUUCUUAGUGCUAGCCUAAAUGAAAUAGGUUAUUUUGUUAACUAAAUGACACCAUCAUAUUUUCUGACCUUGGGAUCCAUUGGAUCUUUAAUUUGCUUGUUCCUAUUCCUACCUUGGUCUCAUCUUGGGGUCUUAAGACAUGAUGGUUCUUUCAUGAUCUCCUGGUCAUGUUGCAUGUUAUGUUCACAUCUGAGAAUAUAGAAGAAGAUACAGGGUUAUUCUAUGUCUUACAUAUGAAGCUAGCACUGCUUGUGCUUCUUAAUCUGAUCCUAGUGUGAUUAUCAUACUUUUAUGCUACUUUUCUUUAAUUAUUAUUCUUCACAUGAUGAUCAAGAUCAUAAAUAAUGUCACCCCUUUGAAUUUACUUUACAUUUUGACAUAAACAAAUCUCUUCGAUAAGUUUGUUUUUGUUUUCAUAUGUGAGAUUAGCAAUGUUGAUCGGGUUACUAUAUCUUGAUCAAGAUGAUAUCGUAUGUCUUAUAUUAGAAUAUGAUCUGUGAAUCAAGGUCAUGUUGAUAUCUAUCUUUGAUUCCAUUAUGUAAUAAUUAGAUUUGAUUCUAUUAAUUGGUUUAAAAUUAAGUAGCUAAGGAAUGAAUUAUUUAGAUUAGCCUUCAUUUAUAAAAAGCAUGAACUUACCUUAAACUCUAGUUCAUCAUAAGUUUGAAAUUAACUGAUUAUAUAUGUUAUAGAUACGAUUGUGGAUAUAUAAAUACAUUAGGACAUUCUCGUUUAAAUUGUACAGAUUGGAUAUCCAGUCCAAUUAUAACUUGAUUAAGCUUGCCUAAUUUGGUUUCAAUUUUAAUUGACAUGAUCAUAAUAAUUUGUAGUUAUGCAAGCUAAGAUGACACCUGAGUAAGUUUCCAUUAUAAUCCUAAAUAAAUUAGGAUAUCCUCGUUUGAAUUGUACAAAUGCUAUGUUUGGUCCAAUUACAACUUAAGUCGGUAAGUCUAAUUUGUGAUAAGUCAAUUUGAAUUUUGAAUGACUUGUGAUCAUAAUGGUAUUUAAUUUGUGAACAGCAUUUUUAUUCCCCAUGAUAACAUUCCAAUUCAAAGAUUCUUUUAAUCAAAUAUUAACAUCUAACUCUAGUCCUAUGGCCUUCAUAAUGAUAAAUUUGGUCAUGAUUGAUAUCGAGUUCAUUUAAUUAGUAAUUCUUUAUCAUGUCACAUUCAAUUAUAUUACCAGUUUUAAUUUGUUGUAUUUAUGUGGUCAUUUCAUCCUAUGUUCUGGAUCAAAUUAUGUCGACAUAGUUAAGAUCAAGUAGAUCAAAAUUGAUCAUCCAAAGGUUUAUUUAGCAUCCAUGAAAUUCACAAAUUUGACAAGUUAAUAUUAAUAUGUAAUUAAAUAUUUCAUUUUCACUUAAUUAAAUCAAGUGAUGCUUUCAUUUUAAUCCAAAUUUUAGUAUUUUGACCAAGUUGAUGUUUCCACAUGAAGUUGACCCUCCAAGGCCACAUUUUUAAUUAUUUGAUUUCUUGCUUGUUUAUUCUUCAGAUUUUGUUUAUCCGUUUUUAUAGAUGACUUGUUUGCUAAACUUUCCUCUCGUAUUCUGAGUUGAUAUUUUAAGGACUAAGAAAUAUUCUAAAAUGGAAUGCUAGAGUUGGGCAUGCUUCUUGAUUUGAUCCAACCAUAUUAUUAUACUUUUAUGGUGCCUUUUCAUUAGUUAUUCUACAUAAGAUGAUCAAGAUUGUAAAUAAUAAUAUACCUUUGAAUUUAUAAUUGAUUUUAAGAGGCAAUGAAAUUCAAUGACAGGGUUCCCCCCGAAAAUGUUUGUACGAUUUCCAUUGUAAAAUAUGUACCUCCAAUUUGUUCUUUUCAUAUAGUGGAACCAUUUGUGAGGUCGAUUAUAUGAGUUUCAAGAUGAAAAGCUUAGACAUUGCUGUUGGAUAAGAGGUAUGCCAACCGAAAGGAAGUUGCUUAUAACUGCAAGCAUUUGAAAAGCAAGAUCUCUACUAUCAUAUGCUUUGCAAUCUAGACUUGAGGAUCACUUGCACCACAAUUGUCUUAACCUUUUUGGGUUGCUCUAAUUGAAGCAUUUCUAACGUCUAAAGAUGUGGCAAAAAGCUUAAGGCGGAGCAUCGGGGAAGACGUCAAAGAUUAAGCUGCAUUGACUUUGUUUGUUUAUACAUUGAUUUUAUUGCACUGGAAACAAAAGGGUCGAGGGGGUGAAAUCCUUUGUAAAGGUUUGAUGUGGUCAAGGAUAUCCUUUGUAAAGGUUUGAUGUGGUCUAAGGAUAUCCGGUGGUAGGGCAUCUUUUUGUUGAAAUCAGGAUCAAUUAGAUUUGACCAUAUUAUUUGGCUUGGAAUUAAGUAGUUAAGGUUUGACAUAUUUUGCUUAGUUUUAUUCUUAAAGAUUUUUUUAUCACAUGUAUAUUUAGUUGACUAAGCUUGGAGUUAGCUAAUUAAGUACCUGUUAUACAUUUUUAGAUAAAGCCGCUUGCGGCAGGCAUGUCAUACAUUGUUAAUUGCACAAAGGUUAUCGCAUAUGUUCAUAGUUUGAAGGUGAGCGAGCACAUGUCGCUGGCGUAGUUGAUGUGUUCAAAGAUUUGGUGGUUAGACAUUUUGAUUAUUUUUUGUGUUCCGCGUAAAAGUUAUUAUUUUUCACUUUGGCAAUAUUUUCUUAAUUUUUUUAACUAUAAUUUUGUGUUCCGU
rnacentral:lncRNA from 1 species